AUAACAUGCAAGACUACGUUUCACAUGCAGUACGGCGCCAGCUGUCAGUGUUUUUUUGUUUGUUUUUCCCCCAAGAUUUAUGGCGUAAUAACAUGGACCGUCCUGAUAACUGGAGCCCGGGUUCUGUCAGAGCCCCAGAGGUUGUGGGUUAGACUUGAUGACAUAACAGCAAAUGCAGCGUGUGGUUACAGAAAGCAAGAGCCGCGGAAGACGUUUGAAAACAAUUGGGAAAAUUUGUAUACGGACUGGAAAUUAGAAUUAUUAAUUAAUUGUGGCAGCAUUGGGAUUAUGUAGGUAAUCUUGCUUAUUCAUAAAGAGAUGUCUAUGUAAGUAUUUAGGAUUGUAUUAUGUUUGUAAGUUUUUGGGUUUUUUGGUUUUUUUUUUUUUUUUUGAGACGGAGUCUUACUCUGUCGCCCAGGCUGGAGUG
rnacentral:lncRNA from 10 species